UUAAAUUAGUAAGAGCGUACGGUGGAUGUCUUGGCAUAUAGAGCAGAAGAAGGACGCAGAUAACGGCGAAACGCCUCGGGGAGUCGUACACAGGCAACGAUCCGGGGGUAUCCGAAUGGGGAAACCCGAUAAAGUUGAAAAGCUUUAUCAUCCUUAAGCCAAUACAUAACUUAAGAGAAGGCAACCCAGGGAAUUGAAACAUCUUAGUACCUGGAGGAGAAGAAAAUAACAAUGAUUCCGAGAGUAGUGGCGAGCGAAAUCGGAGCAGCCCAAACCAGCAAAGAGCUGGGGUAGUAGGACCACGACAAGUGAUUGAAAAGAGAUAGUCGAAUGGCAUUGAAAGGUCAGCCGCAGAAGGUGCAAGCCCUGUAGGCGAAAUCUCGAUUCACGCGAGUGGGAUCCUGAGUACGUCGGAGCACGUGAAACUCUGACGGAAUCAACCGGGACCAUCCGGUAAGGCUAAAUACUCCUAUAUGACCGAUAGUGAACCAGUACCAUGAGGGAAAGAUGAAAAGAACCGCGGGAGCGGAGUGAAAUAGAUCCUGAAACCGUAUGCUUACAAAAAGUCAGAGCACAUUAAGGUGUGAUGGCGUGCCUUUUGUAGAAUGAACCGGCGAGUUAUCUUUGCAUGCGAGGUUAAGCAGACAAUGCGGAGCCGUAGCGAAAGCGAAUCUUAAUAGGGUGGCAAGUAUGUAGAGAUAGACCCGAAGCCGUAGUGAUCUAGUCAUGAGCAGGUUGAAGGCUGGGUGAAUCCAGCUGGAGGACCGAACCGACCCCCGUUGAAAAGUUGGCGGAUGACUUGUGAUUAGCGGAGAAAUUCCAAUCGAACACGGCGAUAGCUGGUUCUCCCCGAAAUAGCUUUAGGGCUAGCGUUGAACGAAUCUACCCGGAGGUAGAGCACUGAAAUCAUGCGGGCGGCAUCUCGCCGUACCAAAUGAUAUCAAACUCCGAAUGCCGGGCAAGAAUAUUCAGCAGUCAGACUGUGGGUGAUAAGGUCCAUGGUCAAAAGGGAAACAGCCCAGAUCAUCAGAUAAGGUCCCAAAAUUUACGCUAAGUGGAAAAGGAUGUGGAGACGCGCAAACAGCUAGGAGGUUGGCUCAGAAGCAGCCAUCCUUCAAAGAGUGCGUAACAGCUCACUAGUCGAGUAUCUCUGCGCCGAAAAUUAACCGGGGCUAAGCGUAAUACCGAAUCUAUGGAUUUAUACUUAGGUAUAAGUGGUAGGGGAGCGUUCCAUACAGCAUUGAAGGUAUACCGUAAGGAGUGCUGGAGCGUAUGGAAGUGAGAAUGCCGGUGUGAGUAGCGAGAUGUGGGUGAGAAUCCCACACACCGAAAAACCAAGGUUUCCAGGGGAAGGUUCGUCCGCCCUGGGUAAGUCGGGACCUAAGGCCAGGCCGAAAGGCGUAGUCGAUGGACAGCAGGUUGAUAUUCCUGCACCCGCGAGUAAAGUGAUGGAGUGACAGAUAGGGUUAACCCAAGUCCUGAAUGGAUUGGGCAAGGCAAGCAGGAGAGUGGCGUAGGCAAAUCCGCGCUAGAUACUCAAAGGCUUGACUCAAGCGAACGCGCGAGCAAGUAGUGAAGAGGGUGAUACCAGGUCUCAAGAAAAGCUUCUAGCGAUAAUUUACUAGCGGCCCGUACCAAAACCGACACAGGUGGUUGAGGCGAGUAGCCUAAGGUGAGCGAGAGAACUGUUGCCAAGGAACUCGGCAAAUUGACCCCGUACGUUAGCAAUAAGGGGUGCUCGAAAGAGCCGCAGUGAAUAGGCCCUAGCAACUGUUUAACUAAAACAUAGCUCUCUGCGAAGUCGCAAGACGAAGUAUAGGGGGUGACACCUGCCCGGUGCUGGAAGGUCAAGGGGAUUUGUCAGACGCAAGUCGAAGCAUUGAACCGAAGCCCCAGUGAACGGCGGCCGUAACUAUAACGGUCCUAAGGUAGCGAAAUUCCUUGUCGGGUAAG
rnacentral:rRNA from 1 species